GUGCUUGCUUUGGUGGCACAUAUACUAACACUGGAACAAUACAGAGAAGAUUAGCGUGGCCCCUGUGCAACGAUGACGUGCAAAUUUGUGAAGCAUCCCAUAUUUUU
ensembl:snRNA U6 U6 spliceosomal RNA